GGUCCCUAGAAGAUGAAAAUGACUUGAUGGCACAUAAUCUUUUAAUGCAGUAACAUUUUUCUGUUUGCCUACCAUUUCCCUCCCCUAUUAUUUUUGCUCUUGGGUUCUUAGUAUCUCCUUUUUUAGGAACUCCAAAUGAGUUCCUUUUAUCACUAGCUUCUCCUGACAUGGAAUCCUACUUAUCAUAAUUCUGAGAUUAUUAAAGUCCAUGUUUUUGAAACCUACAAUAUUAGCUUAAAAUCAAAACCAAGAGCCUUGAUUUCCCUUAAAAUCAAUUACCAUUAUACAGACUGUUGCCUCAAAUGAUCUUGCUACUUCUAUUUUCUUUCUUUUUAUCAUCAAAGAUAAUAUCCUCUUGCUUCUUCUCUACCCUCUAAAAGGUAACAGUGGUCAGAAAGAGAAGUCAGGAAUUUCCUGGAAGAAGGAUGCUUGGCAGAAUUUAUCUUCCAGAAAACAUCGGGACAGUUAAAGCUCCCUACUACCAUUACACAUCUUUGUAGAUCUAUAAUCUGCCUUUUGUUCUUUUUGAACAAAAUACAUUUGAUAUAACUGCUUCAGGCUGGUUUUACCAGGAGUGAUGGAGUUAUAAAUAUGAUGGAUGGAUGGAUGGAUGGAUGGAUGGAUGGAUGGAUGGAUGGACAGAUAUGGUUGCAUGCAUGCUUGUAUGUGGAAAUGCAACUUACUGUAGGUUUCAGGUAUUUGACAGUUUUUCGUACAAUGGAAUAAUACAGCUUGUCAUUUUUAAUAUUUUUCAUUGCUAUUUCUUGAACUAAAUAAAAUGCAGGAAAGGACUCAAAAAUUCUGAAUCCAGAAAGAGUGGCUCUUCAUCAGCUGAAGCAAAGGAAACUACAGGCCAGAAGUAAAACAUGCCAAAUAUAUACACGGCGGCCCAGGCCUUUCAAAGUUUCAUUUACAAUCACUCAAACUCCAUGAAAGCAAGGUAAUUUCCAAGGUUGAUGCUGAUUAGCACAGGCAACCGUGAACACAGGAUGUUGGUGCUUCCCACGCAGCAGGAAAUGGGACUAUAUUAUACCUUUGACCCUGAUCGCACGGAAGGAGGCAAUACUGGGGGAAUUAUUGCAAGAGGAAAAUGAAAAGAAACAAGAGGCUAGGUUUUCAUUUCUAAUCUCUUCCUGAUCCAAAUAGGCUCUACAAAGCCGGCCUAUUUCACUAUCAGAUCUGGGCAUUUGCCAAGGUAUACAAAAUCCUCCAGAGAGCACAAUACAAGCCGUUGUAAGUCCCUAACAAAAACAAGUGAUGCAAGUGACAAAGCAGGAGUUGGAGAGUCACUAUAUCAGAUGAGCAUCUAUGUAGAUUAAAUCAAUCAAGCUGAGGUCCAUGGAUGUGCACUGUUUCCAGACUCCUGAAGCCAAACAUCAGUAAAUGGAAAACCCAUACAUAGCAUUCUCACUGGGCAGGAUAGUCACUGGUCAGAUCUGUGAAGCAAGAAUGCUGAAUCUGAAGACUCAGAGCAGUAAGAACGGUUGAGAAACCCUGAAGUUUCAUUCAAGACUUUAGUGUAAUCCAUCUCAAACUGCAAUCCCUGAAAAGCCAGUCACAUUACAUAAGACAUAAUAAAUGUAGCAUUAAAAUAAAAACUUGUUAAAAUUCACAGCAUUCUGUUCAUUUAUAUAGCCACGGUAUAUUCUAUUUUAUACGGUAAUAAUAAACACAGAUACUUUUUUUCCUAGUGUUUUCCCUAGUGCAGGGUUCUCUUUUUGGUAUUAACUGA